rnacentral:tRNA from 1 species
GGUAGCGUGGCUGAGUGGUCUAAGGUGCUGGAUUAAGGCUCCAGUCUCUUCGGGGGCGUGGGUUCGAUACCCACCGCUGCCA